rnacentral:rRNA from 1 species
CGGAGCCACAAGUGGGAGCCGCUAUUAUUGGGCCUAAAGCGUCCGUAGCCGGUUAAGCAAAUCUCUUGUGAAAUUGUCGGGCUCAACCUGACAGCGUGCAUGAGACACUACUUAACUAGGGACCGGGAGGAGUCAGAGGUAUUUCGGGGGGAGCGGUAAAAUGUUAUAAUCCUCGAAGGACCACCUAUGGCGAAGGCAUCUGACCAGAACGGAUCCGACGGUGAGGGACGAAAGCCAGGGGAGCAAACCGGAUUAGAGACCCGAGUAGUCC